CGAGCGAGUCUGCCUUGAAGAUCGGAGUGCUUGCACUCUGUGAAACAAGAUACAGGCUAGCGGCGGACGGGUGAGUAACACGUGGGUAACCUGCCCAAGAGAUCGGGAUAACACCUGGAAACAGAUGCUAAUACCGGAUAACAACAGAUGAUACCUAUCAACUGUUUAAAAGAUGGUUCUGCUAUCACUCUUGGAUGGACCUGCGGUGCAUUAGCUAGUUGGUAGGGUAACGGCCUACCAAGGCGAUGAUGCAUAGCCGAGUUGAGAGACUGAUCGGCCACAUUGGGACUGAGACACGGCCCAAACUCCUACGGGAGGCAGCAGUAGGGAAUCUUCCACAAUGGACGCAAGUCUGAUGGAGCAACGCCGCGUGAGUGAAGAAGGGCUUCGGCUCGUAAAGCUCUGUUGUUGGUGAAGAAGGACAGGGGUAGUAACUGACCUUUGUUUGACGGUAAUCAAUUAGAAAGUCACGGCUAACUACGUGCCAGCAGCCGCGGUAAUACGUAGGUGGCAAGCGUUGUCCGGAUUUAUUGGGCGUAAAGCGAGUGCAGGCGGCUCGAUAAGUCUGAUGUGAAAGCCUUCGGCUCAACCGGAGAAUUGCAUCAGAAACUGUCGAGCUUGAGUACAGAAGAGGAGAGUGGAACUCCAUGUGUAGCGGUGAAAUGCGUAGAUAUAUGGAAGAACACCGGUGGCGAAGGCGGCUCUCUGGUCUGUUACUGACGCUGAGGCUCGAAAGCAUGGGUAGCGAACAGGAUUAGAUACCCUGGUAGUCCAUGCCGUAAAC
rnacentral:rRNA from 1 species